rnacentral:rRNA from 1 species
UUUAAUUGGAGAGUUUGAUCCUGGCUCAGAUUGAACGCUGGCGGCAUGCCUAACACAUGCAAGUCGCACGCGAAAGGGGGCAACCCUGAGUAGAGUGGCGGACGGGUGAGUAAUACGUAGGAAUCUACCUGGUAGUGGGGGACAACCCGGCGAAAGCCGGGCUAAUACCGCAUACGACCUAUGGGUGAAAGCGGGGGAUCGCAAGACCUCGCGCUAUCAGAUGAGCCUGCGUCGGAUUAGCUAGUUGGUAGGGUAAAGGCCUACCAAGGCGACGAUCCGUAGCUGGUCUGAGAGGACGACCAGCCACAUUGGGACUGAGACACGGCCCAAACUCC